GCAGUCGUGGCCGAGUGGUUAAGGCGUUGGGAAGGAAAUCCAUUGGGGUCUCCCCGCAAAGGUUCGAAUCCUGUCGACUACG
rnacentral:tRNA from 1 species